ACCUAAAUUGCUCAGUUGGGAGAGGGUUAGGCUAGAGAUCGAAAAGUCCCUGGUUCGAUUUCGGGUUCCGGCA
rnacentral:tRNA from 1 species